ensembl:lncRNA
CAGGACAAACCAGUAAUCCAGUAAAUAAAGUCCGAGUUCCACGAGCUGCUCUAGCAAAUUAAUUGAACCCAAGGAGGGGAUCCUGGAAGCCACUGAUUUAUUGCUGGUUGGUCAGAAGCACAGUGCAGAGAAAAUGUGGUGGUGUUUUCACCACAUCCAUUCAACGCCUCCUCCCCUCUGGCGGCUCAGCAGUAAAGAAUCUGCCUGCUAAUGCAAGAGACACAAGAGAUGCGGGUUCGAUCCCUGGGUCGGGAAGAUCCCCUGGAGAACAAAAUGUCAACCCACUCCAGUAAUCUUGCCUGGGAGAUCCCGUGGACAGAGAGCCUGGCAGUCCACGGGGUGGCAAAGAGUUGGACACGACUGAGCGGCUAACACACAGCUCUGCUUUGGAAAUGCAACAUGUGGCUGUCUUCCCGCCGUGUGGUUUUCAAG